AGUUUGAUUCAUGGCUCAGGAUGAACGCUGGCGGGSGUGCCUAAUACAUGCAAGUCGAGCGAACGGACGAGAAGCUUGCUUUCUCUGAUGUUAGCGGCGGACGGGUGAGUAACACGUGGAUAACCUACCCUAUAAGACUGGGAUAACUUCGGGAAACCGGAGCUAAUACCGGAUAAUAUUUUGACCCGCAUGGUUCAAAAGUGAAAGACGGUCUUGCUGUCACUUAUAGAUGGAUCCGCGCUGCAUUAGCUAGUUGGUAAGGUAACGGCUUACCAAGGCAACGAUGCAUAGCCGACCUGAGAGGGUGAUCGGCCACACUGGAACUGAGACACGGUCCAGACUCCUACGGGAGGCASCAGUAGGGAAUCUUCCGCAAUGGGCGAAAGCCUGACGGAGCAACGCCGCGUGAGUGAUGAAGGUCUUCGGAUCGUAAAACUCUGUUAUUAGGGAAGAACAUAUGUGUAAGUAACUGUGCACAUCUUGACGGUACCUAAUCAGAAAGCCACGGCUAACUACGUGCCAGCAGCCGCGGUAAUACGUAGGUGGCAAGCGUUAUCCGGAAUUAUUGGGCGUAAAGCGCGCGUAGGCGGUUUUUUAAGUCUGAUGUGAAAGCCCACGGCUCAACCGUGGAGGGUCAUUGGAAACUGGAAAACUUGAGUGCAGAAGAGGAAAGUGGAAUUCCAUGUGUAGCGGUGAAAUGCGCAGAGAUAUGGAGGAACACCAGUGGCGAAGGCGACUUUCUGGUCUGUAACUGACGCUGAUGUGCGAAAGCGUGGGGAUCAAACAGGAUUAGAUACCCUGGUAGUCCACGCCGUAAACGAUGAGUGCUAAGUGUUAGGGGGUUUCCGCCCCUUAGUGCUGCAGCUAACGCAUUAAGCACUCCGCCCUGGGGAG
rnacentral:rRNA from 1 species